rnacentral:rRNA from 1 species
GUGUACGUGGUAGCGGAGCGUUCCGUAAGUCUGUGAAGGCGGACCCGUGAGGGCUGCUGGAGAUAUCGGAAGUGCGAAUGUUGACAUGAGUAACGAUAAAGGGAGUGAGAGACUCCCUCGCCGAAAGACCAAGGGUUCCUGCGCAACGUUAAUCGACGCAGGGUGAGUCGGUCCCUAAGGCGAGGCUGAAGAGCGUAGUCG